UAUUUGCUAACUAAUUGUAGCUAGAAGAUCGAAUUCGCCCAGUAGGGCGAUCUAACUACAUGAAAUGGUUUUUAUUUAAAAUAGAAAGACCCGUGUCUUUCUAUGUGUCUAGGUAUGUCUUGACGCGAUAUUUAUGAAUGAGUUACAUUAUGUACUCACUGCUUGACGUUUAGUUAUAAUGGGUGGGACGCGAAUGAUUAAAAUCAGUUUUUAAUGUUAUACAUUUCAUGUAGGUAGAUGGGGAGUAGAAGGGAGAGUGCAUAACAAAACUAAUCUUACUAACCAUUGGCUUGCCUUUAAUUAAUUAUAAGAUCAAAUUAAUGUUAUGGUACUAUCCCAUGUGCCAACCUCACCUGCUCGCGCCAACAGCCGGCUGUUGGCGGCAGCGGCGUGGCUCACCGCGAGAGUGAGACGCUCCGCUGCGGUGCUCCCUGCUGUCUUACUGACGAGGCUCUGGCUUUAACUAAUAUUUAUGGCUGUCUUUUACUAACAUUGUAUGUCAUGUUAUAGAGCUUGCAGAUGGACUAACCAGGCUGGCAGUGUGUGGCAGCUAACUUGUUUAUAAAUGUGGAAACAUCUCAUUCACACAAAACACAGAUGAGCCGUGCAAUGCUUUGAUGUGUCUCUAAUUAUACAUCGAUGUAAACUCUAACAAUGCAUAGCCAAAUAUAAAUCUAAUUUUAAUAUGUUUUAUAUUACAGAUGACAAACGAUUUAUUAGUAGAUAAUAUCACUGUUUAUAUCUGGAUAAGAUACUCAAUUAGACAUCAAGAUGACUGUCACUCGUUCACUCAAAAGAUACUAAGAGUAUAGAAGCCAAAAGAGAAACUUGAGUGAUGCAAAAGUUAAAAUUGCUACGAUGGUGCUCACCACACUACUCGCAAGUCAAGUUCCUCAAGAUGAAGCAUUAAUAACGCAGCCCUGACAAAAUAAUGCAAAUUUGAAGAAUUCAUAAACAUAAAAAGAACUAACUACUAAUUAAGGUAUAGACUAGAAGAAAUAAUAAAAAUUAAAAUGUAAUAUAAUACUUAGCUACCUACGUUUCGCUACUUCAUACUGAACUGAACCGGAGUCUGACAAUGCACCACACGACCUUUUUCUGAUUAUGUAAAACGCCAUGAAUAAAAUAGAAUUGAUCACAUCUCACAAGGAAUGAGGAGUGAUAUCGCCAAGAAGAAAUUACUGUCUCAAUGCGUAAAAUAUUACUCUACGAAGCAAGAAGGCUAAGAAUAAAGAAAGAAAAGAAAGCAAAACAUAAACGCAAGACGCAAAUAGUAGUUCACGACACGACAAGUUCAUCAGUAUCAUGGAAUUAUCGACAUUGGACUUGAAAUCUCAGUUGAAGUUCCGGUAUUGGAUUGACGACAGCAGUCAAUUAUCGAUGAACACUGAUUUGAAGAUGCUUGACGUUCUACAGAGGAAGCAAGAAAAUAAUAAUUAGAGAUAUUUACAGAUUAAAACAUAGUAGUUAUGCACUUUUAUUCAAAUUAAUAUUGUUUACUGAUCAGUAAUAAUACCAUAACCCAAGACUUGUAGCAGCCUAUGCUGAACCUCAUCAUGGCUCUUUUGAUUUUUUUUCUUUAUUUUUCAUUUUCUAAUAUUAAUUUAGUGAACAUAAAAUGCCAGCUACUCGGAUAUGUAGGUGACUUGGGACUGAUUUUUUGAUCGUUGAAUACCUAUCUGCUGAAGAAUAAACAUUUUGACAUAUCUCAUACUAUUCUUCUGUUAAAAGUUCUACGACGAUUGAGAUAUCAGCGCCCAUAAGUUUUUUUUUAAACUGAGGUGGAAUUGUGUAAAGCAAUCGUUAUCAUUUGACAGUUACGUACGUAACAUAACGUACGAUAAUUCUGUCAAACGCUUUAACUGAUUUUAUCGUACGUUAUGAACUGUCAAAUGAUUACGAUUGCUUUACACAAUUCCAUCUCUGAUCCAGAUUAUUUUUUAUAUUUUCAUUUGUAUAGGAAAAUGUAACAUAAUCAUUUAGCCAAUGUCAAUUUGCAUUCAUAUUAUAAAUAUUGCACUUGAAAUGAUGAUUAUUAUGAUUACAUAAUAUUUUGGAAUUAAACAUGUCUUAGCUAAGUAAAACUACUCGAAUUUCACUAUCAUUGGAAUUUAAUAUUUUUCGCUUAUAUUAAAAUCGUAGCUUGAUCCAGUCAUUCUAGAUAACUUAGAUUUUUAAAUCCGACUGUCAGCACUGAAGCUACAUGUAGCACUUUUUUCACUUAUAAGCUUUUGUCUUUUUAUUUAAUGUACUAAAUGAUAGAUCAAUUACGAAAGUAGAUUGCUCCUUUACAGAGACAUAGUAAUAUUACAGUCAAAUGUAUGCUUUCAAAAGUUGUAGAUUAAUUGUUUAAUCGUUAUAAAUAUACUAUUUGAAGCAAUUUUUUGUUUUUUAUUCAUUAAUUAAUUAAUAAACACAAUGUAGGUUGAGUUAUAAUCACACACAGGCUUAACUGUCUCGCACACAGAUUUAAAUAUCUAACACACAGACUUAACUAUCUCGCACACAGGCUUAAUAUCUUUGAUAUCUGUUUCCUAAACAGCUUUCAUUUAGGUACAACAUAA